rnacentral:rRNA from 1 species
UACGGGGGGGGCAAGCGUUGUUCGGAAUUACUGGGCGUAAAGAGCGUGUAGGCGGUUCGGUAAGUCUGCCGUGAAAUCCUGGGGCUCAACCCCGGGCGUGCGGUGGAUACUGCCGGGCUAGAGGGUGGUAGAGGCGAGUGGAAUCCCCGGUGUAGCGGUGAAAUGCGUAGAGAUCGGGAAGAACAUCGGUGGCGAAAGCGCUCUACUGGACCGCAACUGACACUCAGGGACGAAAGCUAGGGGAGCGAAUGGG